rnacentral:tRNA from 1 species
AUACUCUAGUAUAACCAUUACAUAACUUUUUCAAAGUUAAAAUCCCACCUUGGGGAAUAUU